rnacentral:rRNA from 1 species
UGCACGAAAGCGUGGGGAGCAAAUAGGAUUAGAUACCUUAGUAGUCCACGCCGUAAACGAUGAAUAUUAAGUAUUGGGGAAACUCAGUGCUGCAGCUAACGCAAUAAGUAUUCCGCCUGUGGAGUAUGCACGCAAGUGUGAAACAUAAAGGAAUUGACGGGGGCCCGCACAAGCGGUGGAGUAUGUGGUUUAAUUCGACGCAACGCGAAGAACCUUACCAGGCCUUGACAUCCCUUGCAAAGCUGUAGAGAUACAGUAGAGGUUAUCAAGGAGACAGGUGGUGCAUGGUUGUCGUCAGCUCGUGUCGUGAGAUGUUGGGUUAAGUCCCGCAACGAGCGCAACCCUUGCCUUCAGUUACCAGCAUUCAGUUGGGGACUCUGGAGGGACUGCCGGUGAUAAACCGGAGGAAGGUGGGGAUGACGUCAAAUCAUCAUGCCCCUUAUGGCUUGGGCUACACACGUACUACAAUGGCUGUUACAACGUGCAGCGACCUAGCGAUAGGAAGCGAAUCACUAAAAGACAGUCUCAGUUCGGAUUGAAGUCUGCAACUCGACUUCAUGAAGCUGGAAUCGCUAGUAAUCGCGGAUCAGAAUGCCGCGGUGAAUACGUUCUCGGGCCUUGUACACACCGCCCGUCAUACCAUGAGAGCUGGUAAUACCCGAAGCCGGUGGCCUAACCGCAAGGAAGGAGCCGUCGAAGGUAGG